rnacentral:tRNA from 1 species
UUAAUUGAAUCCAAAACUUAGGAAAAUUAAUGUUAAUAAUUUUAUUUGAAAUUAAAAUUUCCAAUUAAU